AUUGAACGCUGGCGGCAGGCCUAACACAUGCAAGUCGAGCGGAUGAAGGGAGCUUGCUCUCUGAUUCAGCGGCGGACGGGUGAGUAAUGCCUAGGAAUCUGCCUGGUAGUGGGGGACAACGUUUCGAAAGGAACGCUAAUACCGCAUACGUCCUACGGGAGAAAGUGGGGGAUCUUCGGACCUCACGCUAUCAGAUGAGCCUAGGUACGAUUAGCUAGUUGGUGAGGUAAAGGCUCACCAAGGCGACGAUCGUUAACUGGUCUGAGAGGAUGAUCAGUCACACUGGAACUGAGACACGGUCCAGACUCCUACGGGAGGCAGCAGUGGGGAAUAUUGGACAAUGGGCGAAAGCCUGAUCCAGCCAUGCCGCGUGUGUGAAGAAGGUCUUCGGAUUGUAAAGCACUUUAAGUUGGGAGGAAGGGCAGUAAGUUAAUACCUUGCUGUUUUGACGUUACCGACAGAAUAAGCACCGGCUAACUUCGUGCCAGCAGCCGCAGUAA
rnacentral:rRNA from 1 species